rfam:Anas platyrhynchos breed Pekin duck contig83710, whole genome shotgun sequence.
AGAGCUGUUCAGCCUUUUGGGGAAGCUCAGGUGUAAUGUGUGUUCUUGCUAGUUUCACAUCUGGUAUGCCCUUGCUGCCAGGACUCGCUGUGAAGUGGCGUUGUGGAGUCAGGAGGUGACUGUGGAGCUUGCUGAGCUGCUCCACAUACUGCCCUGGGAUCGAUCGCAGUACCUCCAAGUGCACUGUCUACCCU